rnacentral:pre_miRNA from 1 species
AUUCUAAUCACCUAGAGAUCAUGUUAAAAUGCAGAUUCUGACAAGUAAGUCUGGGCCAGCAUUUGAGCUUCUGCACUUCUAACCAGGUCCUUGGCAGUGAUGUCCUU